rnacentral:lncRNA from 1 species
UGCCUCUGCUGAGUCAUGCAGGUUGUCAGGGAAGUGGGGGAAAGCCGGCAGUCACAGGGCUCACCCAGCUCCCACCCAAACCAAAGGGCCGGUCUCACUCCCACCGUGCACCCCCCAACAGCCCCCAGUCCGUUUCCAGGCGGAGAGGGAUACAGGCCUGAAAACCUGCCCCAGGCUACCCGCCUCCCAGCUGCGAGAGAAAAAGGCUUGGUUCUUCCCCCGCCUGUGGAGUCAGCACCCCGGAUUCGUGCCCUGCCCUAGUUCUGGCCAGGAGGAUUCUCACCCAGUUCAAACUGUUACAACGCUCAGCUAGAGAUUUCCUUCUCCCUGUGGAGUUUUACCCCCUCCUCUCCCGAUGGAUCCCUGUGGUGCCAGCAGGAAUGGGCUGCUCGGGGACCCAGCGAGCUCCGCGGGCCUUUCCGCUGCUUCCUCUACCCCUGUACCUCACUGGGCUCCCCAGACGGACUCAGCUCCAGAACCUGUAGGAAAAUAUCAGAGAUGUU